rnacentral:rRNA from 2 species
GCCUUCGGGAACUGUGAGACAGGUGCUGCAUGGCUGUCGUCAGCUCGUGUUGUGAAAUGUUGGGUUAAGUCCCGCAACGAGCGCAACCCUUAUCCUUUGUUGCCAGCGGUCCGGCCGGGAACUCAAAGGAGACUGCCAGUGAUAAACUGGAGGAAGGUGGGGAUGACGUCAAGUCAUCAUGGCCCUUACGACCAGGGCUACACACGUGCUACAAUGGCGCAUACAAAGAGAAGCGACCUCGCGAGAGCAAGCGGACCUCAUAAAGUGCGUCGUAGUCCGGAUUGGAGUCUGCAACUCGACUCCAUGAAGUCGGAAUCGCUAGUAAUCGUGGAUCAGAAUGCCACGGUGAAUACGUUCCCGGGCCUUGUACACACCGCCCGUCACACCAUGGGAGUGGGUUGCAAAAGAAGUAGGUAGCUUAACCUUCGGGAGGGCGCUUACCACUUUGUGAUUCAUGACUGGGGUGAAGUCGUAACAAGGUAACCGUAGGGGAACCUGC